AAAAUAAAAACGCAGAAGCGAGAUGGAGGUUCCGGUUGAUGAGGGUCAUUUCCUAUCGAUGCUUGUAAAGAUCAUGAAUGCGAAAAACACUAUCGAGAUCGGUGU
rnacentral:sRNA from 1 species